UGCUUGAGAGUGGCGAACGGGUGAGUAAUAUAUCGGAACGUGCCCAGUCGUGGGGGAUAACGUAGAGAAAUUUACGCUAAUACCGCAUACGAUCUAAGGAUGAAAGCGGGGGAUUUCGCAAGAAGCCUCGCGCGAUUGGAGCGGCUGAUAUCAGAUUAGGUUGUUGGUGAGGUAAAAGCUCACCAAGCCGACGAUCUGUAGCUGGUUUGAGAGAACGACCAGCCACACUGGGACUGAGACACGGCCCAGACUCCUACGGGAGGCAGCAGUGGGGAAUUUUGGACAAUGGGCGAAAGCCUGAUCCAGCAAUGCCGCGUGCAGGAAGAAGGCCUUCGGGUUGUAAACUGCUUUUGUACGGAACGAAACGGUCUGCUCUAAUACAGUGGGCUAAUGACGGUACCGUAAGAAUAAGCACCGGCUAACUACGUGCCAGCAGCCGCGGUAAUACGUAGGGUGCGAGCGUUAAUCGGAAUUACUGGGCGUAAAGCGUGCGCAGGCGGUUAUAUAAGACAGUUGUGAAAUCCCCGGGCUCAACCUGGGAAUUGCAUCUGUGACUGUAUAGCUAGAGUACGGUAGAGGGGGAUGGAAUUCCGCGUGUAGCAGUGAAAUGCGUAGAUAUGCGGAGGAACACCGAUGGCGAAGGCAAUCCCCUGGACCUGUACUGACGCUCAUGCACG
rnacentral:rRNA from 1 species